rnacentral:lncRNA from 10 species
CAAGAGAAAAACCAAGAGAUGAUGUCGUGGAAGCUAGAGGAGAAAAGGAGAGGGAUCAAUGUGCCCAGCAAUUUCUUCAAGGCAAUAGGCUGCGCAAGAGACUGGCAGUUAGGAGCCUCGUGCUCUUGGCUCACUUCAUAGCCAUCUAGUUCUGUGGCCUACCAGUUCUCAUCCUUUGAAUUCUUAGGUUAGACGAGAAGAUACAUGAGAUCUCUAAAUCUUCAGGUUUAAACGUAGAUGUCUUUCACUACACCAGAGUAAAUAGCUUAUUCAAUAUUCAUUUUAUGAUCGUUAUUGGACUUCGGCUUCCUACUGCCUUUCAAAUAGGCCAUCGCAAGAUUUUGUCCAGUAGUAACGGUUCAAGAGUUCAUUCUGGAGUAAGAG